GCUGCGGCAAUUCCGGCACGCCCCGUCUUCCGCCGCGGGACCAGUCUCGUUCCAGAAGCCUCCCGCGGCCCCUCCGCGCUUUCAACCCUGAGCAGACUCGGAGAUCCCCCCACUUCCCAUGAGGCUUCUGCAGGUUGUUGCGUCCCUGCGGUGCUCCUUGACUACCUGGCAAGAACGAGAGGUUUGAAAGCAGCAGGGGACACCGGGACAGCGUAACUGCGGAGGGGAUGCAGAGCAGGGGCAGUGAGUAGAGUGUGGUCCCUCAGGGGAGAUUCUUAGAGGUGAGUCUGCGACACCACUGGAAUUCUCCGCAGGAUAAGAGGAAGGCAUCCCAGAGCAGUGGUUCUCACGUUAUUUUGGUCUCAGGACCCCUUUACACCGCUACACAUUAUUGAGAACCCUGAAGACCUUUUCUUUCUUUUUCCGUAUUUGCCCUAUUGGAAAUUUACGCUGACAAAUGUUUAAAAUAUGUAUUGACUCACACACAAAAAGGAAUAAACCCAUUACAUGUUUACAUAAAUAACAUUUUUAUGAAAAAAGUAUGUUUUCCGCAAAAAAAAAUUGCAUGAGAAAAGUAGUAUUGUUUCGCGUGCAAAUCUCUUUAAUGUCUGGCUUAAUUGAAAACAGCUGGAUUCUCAUAGCUGCUUCUGCAUUCGAUCUGUUGUAAAGUGGUGUUGAUUGCCGUAGAUGAAGGAAAUCUGGCCUCACAGAUACUUAGAAGAGGGAGAAGUAUUUUAAUAGCCUUUUUAGAUAAUUGGGGAUAUUUUUGAUACAACACCUAAACUUAGAAGUGGUAGUUUUUUAAAGGUUAGUCGGAUGUGGAAUCUGAAACCAUAUUAAGGAACUUUAUGCUCUAUUACUUUAAAAUCAUUGGUAUAUCUCGCAUUUUGAAAGGACCUCUUAUGAAUGCAUGACUUUGUAAAAUCAUACAUAUCAUCAUUUGGAAGACACUGGUUCACUGAAUUAUGCAGCUCUUCCAAACACACAGUCUCUUAAAUGUUGGGAAGCUGCCAAGUUCACAGCGACAGAUACAAGUUUUCCAAAAUUCUAAUUUUCACUUGAAAGGUCAAAUUUUAUCGUUGGCAUCAAAUACUGUCUGUUGUUUUCCUUGAAGGAACAGGCUUACUCCUUUCGUUUUUGAGAAAAUAUCUGCCAAAUGUGCCCGUUUGAAUAACCAUAGUUUGUCCGAUGUCUUUUCAAAUAAAAUGGUCCUUAGUUCAAAAAAC
rnacentral:lncRNA from 1 species